rnacentral:misc_RNA from 1 species
UCUCUCUCUAGAAAAAAAAUCAAAUACGGAUCCACCGCCUUCGAUCCGAACCCUGAAACCCUAUUCCCUUCUCUCUAGAUUUUGUUCUUAUCUACACAAACUAUGCCAAUGAGGAAGGGAGCCAAGAGGAAGAGAGUCCAGAAAGACAAAGAAGAUGAAGCAAAAGCUUCUUCUUCUUCUCAAGAAAAUCACAAGCAGGAAUCCACCAAAGCUCCUACGCGAGCUAAAAGCGUCAAGGCCUCUAAACCCCAACCUGAGCCUGAAUACUUCGAGGAUAAGCGAAACUUGGAAGAUCUAUGGAAGGAAGCAUUUCCUGUUGGGACAGAGUGGGAUCAAUUGGAUUCAGUGUAUCAAUUCAACUGGAAUUUUUCCAACUUGGAAGAUGCAUUUGAAGAGGGAGGCAUUCUACAUGGAAAGAAAGUUUAUCUAUUUGGUUGUACAGAGCCUCAAUUGGUCCCUUACAAGGAUGAACAGAAAGUAAUUUGCAUACCUGCAGUUGUGGCCAUUACGUCUCCCUUCCCUCCUUCUGAUAAGAUUGGAAUUAACUCAGUUCAGAGGGAGUCUGAAGAAAUAGUUCCCAUGAAACAAAUGAAAAUGGAUUGGGUUCCAUAUAUUCCUCUGGAGAAUAGAGAGAGUCAGGUGGACA